CGGAACCUCGCGCUAUGAGAUGAGCCUGCGUUAGAUUAGCUAGUUGGUAGGGUAAAGGCCUACCAAGGCGACGAUCUAUAGCUGGUCUGAGAGGACGAUCAGCCACACUGGGACUGAGACACGGCCCAGACUCCUACGGGAGGCAGCAGUGGGGAAUAUUGGACAAUGGGCGCAAGCCUGAUCCAGCAAUACCGCGUGUGUGAAGAAGGCCUUAGGGUUGUAAAGCACUUUCAAUUGGGAGGAAAACCUGCCGGUCAAUACCCGGUAGCUUGACAUUACCUUUAGAAGAAGCACCGGCUAACUCCGUG
rnacentral:rRNA from 1 species